GGGAACUGAAACAUCUCAGUACCCUCAGGAAGAGAAAGAAACCUCGAUUCCCCAAGUAGCGGCGAGCGAACGGGGAUCAGCCUAAACCGGCUGCCUGCAAGCCUACGAGCGUUUUGCAGCCGGGGUCGUGGGAAGCAUGUCCCAGCGUCGUAGCGUUGGGCAGGAGUUACCAAGUCGUGUUCUAGUCGAACGGUCUGGAAAGACCGGCCAAAGACGGUGAUAGCCCCGUAGGCGAAAGAGCACGGCCUCCUGAUUGUUCUCCCGAGUAGCACCAGACACGGGAAACCUGGUGUGAAUCCGCAGGGACCACCCUGUAAGGCUAAAUACUACUCAGCGACCGGUAGAGAAGAGUAGCGUGAGCGAAAAAUGAAAAGUACCCCGUCAAGGGGAGUGAAAUAGUACCUGAAACCAAGUACCUACAAGCUGUCGGAGCCCUAUGUCUUCGGACACGGGUGACGGCGUACCUUUUGCAUAAUGGGCCGGCGAGUUAAUCUAUGUAGCGAGGUUAAGGGCUAGUGGCCCGCAGCCGAAGCGAAAGCGAGUGCGAAAUGUGCGACUCAAGUUGCAUGGAUUAGACGCGAACGCAGGUGAUCUAUCCAUGGCCAGGCUGAAGCGAGCCUAACAGCUCGUGGAGGGCCGAACCCUUUUACGUUGAAAAGUGAUGGGAUGAGCUGUGGAUCGGAGUAAAAAGCUAAUCGAACCUGCAGAUAGCUCGUUCUCCUCGAAAUAGCUUUUGGGCUAGCGUUGCGUGGUAACUCAUGGGGGUAGAGCUACUGAUCUGGAAUGGGGGGCUUCCCGCCUACCCAUCCUAGUCAAACUCCGAAUACCAUGAGCGGAAUCGCAGCAGUCAGUCCGCGGGCGAUAAGGUCCGCGGUCGAGAGGGAAACAACCCGGACCGUCGGCUAAGGUCCCUAAGGGUGCCUCAGUGGUAAAAGGAUGUGGACUUGCUAAGACAGCCAGGAUGUUGGCUUAGAAGCAGCCAUCAUUUAAAGAAAGCGUAACAGCUCACUGGUCAAGCGCUCCUGCGCGGAAAAUGUAACGGGGCUUAAGUGAUACACCGAAGCUGCGGGCUCGAAAGAGCGGUAGCGGAGCGU
rnacentral:rRNA from 1 species